rnacentral:lncRNA from 1 species
CGAUACCUGACUUUCACCAUGAUGAAUGGAGACAGGAUGGGGUCUGAAUGCUAGUCUUCAAUGCACCAUACAACAGUGCUAGACCCUCAUCAGUAUGAAGGGGAACAAAGCCCUCCUUAAAAGAUUUACUAGAGUUAACACCUGGGGAUCCUCAAGAAAUGAAUGCUAUCAUUGUUCUGCUUCAGAAGUUUGGAACCAAAACUGCAGUGUCCCCAAGGCAUGCCUGUAGGUAAACAUGAGUCCAUACUGAUAAAUGAUCGAAUAAACAGGAGAGAAGAAACAAAUCUUCAAGAAGAAUAACAUGCACAGAUACUGCUCUCUCCAGGGGUUGGAGCUGAAACCUCCUCAACCCACAGAGUAUGGAAAGGGAAAAACAGGAACUUGACAGUGGAGAAAUCUGGCAGACACCACUGUGACCAGGUGGCCAAGGUCAGCACUGCCUGGGAUAGGUCGUGUGGUGGUUACAACCACCCAGUAGGAUGUGAUGAGAAAGGUGCUUGAGAAACACAUCAAACUCCAAUUGAGGGACAUUCUACAGACUACCUGGCCAGUACUCCUCAAAACUGUCAAGGUCAUGAGAAACAAGGGAAGUCUGAGAAACUGUCACAGGCAAGAGAACGCAAAGGAGAUGGGAUGACUAAAUGCAGUAUGUGCCUGGAUGGGACUCUGGGACAGAAAGCAGACAUUACGGAAAAACUGGUGAAAUCCAAAUCAAGGCUGGAUUUUAGUGAAUGGACACUAACAAUGUUGGUUUCUUAGUCAUGACAAAUGUACCAUGGGAAGAGAAGAGGUUACCAAUGGGGGAAACUAGGUGAGGGGCACACAUAAGCUCUCUGUACUAUCUCUGCCAUUUUUCUGUAAAUCAAAAAUUAGUCCAAAAUAAAAGUUUAUUGGAAAAGAAAAAAAAAGACAUAACAGAUGG